GUUAGGUUUGGGUUCAGUUAAGUAGAAUAAGUUGACAUGUAGUUGUAAAGUUACUUACAGUCAGUAGAAUGUCUAAAGUAGACCACUGAAAUACCAAAUCUUAUAUGUAGAGAGUUUAUUAGUUUGUUAUCAGCACACUCUGUUGUAAAUCCUGCCCACUUCUUUGCAUUGUCACACAUGCUUCAGUGCUCUGAGAGUGUUUAUAGUGCUGUGAGUUUAACACUUCAUGACUGAGAGCAGAACAGAACACAAUCUUCAUCAUCACACAAGACAAAAGAACAACAAUGAACAAAAUCACCUUCUUCAUCUGGACUCUGACUCUCUGCAUUCAGGAGAGCUGGGGACAAGUGACAGUGACUCAGAAUCCAACACUGAGAGCAGAACAGAACACAAUCUUCAUCAUCACACAAGACAAAAGAACAACAAUGAACAAAAUCACCUUCUUCAUCUGGACUCUCACUCUCUGCAUUCAGGAGAGCUGGGGACAAGUGACAGUGACUCAGAAUCCAACAAUAAAAUCCAUCAAACAAGGAGAAACUGUUACAAUCAGCUGUAAAACCACCAGCAGUGCAGUGCAUGGUGGUGAUGAGUUACACUGGUACUUACAGAAACCUGGAGAAGCUCCUAAACUCCUCAUAUAUGAAGCAACAAGCCGUUAUACUGGAACUCCAUCUAGAUUCAGUGGCAGUGGAUCUGGCAGUGAUUUCACUCUGACCAUCAGUGGAGUCCAGACUGAAGAUACAGGAGAUUAUUACUGUCAGAGUGCACACAGCAUCAACAGUCAAUAUGUGUUCACACAGUGAUA